rnacentral:rRNA from 1 species
AGUCAUAUGCUUGUCUCAAAGAUUAAGCCAUGCAUGUCUCAGUACAAGCCAAAUUAAGGUGAAACCGCGAAAGGCUCAUUAAAUCAGUUAUGGUUCCUUAGAUCGUACACACAUUUACUUGGAUAACUGUGGUAAUUCUAGAGCUAAUACAUGCCAACAGAACUCCGACCGGAGACGGAAGGAGUGCCUUUAUUAGAUCAAAACCAAUCGGUGGUGCGGCUUCGGCCGUGUCAUCGUACAACAUGGUGAAUCUGAAUAACGUUUGCUGAUCGCACGGUCUCGCACCGGCGACGCAUCUUUCAAAUGUCUGCCUUAUCAACUGUCGAUGGUAGGUUCUGCGCCUACCAUGGUUGUAACGGGUAACGGGGAAUCAGGGUUCGAUUCCGGAGAGGGAGCCUGAGAAACGGCUACCACAUCCAAGGAAGGCAGCAGGCGCGCAAAUUACCCACUCCCGGCACGGGGAGGUAGUGACGAAAAAUAACGAUACGGGACUCAUCCGAGGCCCCGUAAUCGGAAUGAGCACACUUUAAAUCCUUUCACGAGGAUCAAUCGGAGGGCAAGUCAGGUGCCAGCAGCCGCGGUAAUUCCUGCUCCGAUAGCGUAU